GGAGCCUUGGCCAGCAUUCUAUGUAGUCCAGGCAGCUUUAUAGGCUUGAUAGACAAGCUGCAGGAAUAGGUAUAGAGGGAGUAAAACUCAGUGCUGUCCCAGCUCCUCCAGUGUCUGUGUGUGAGGCUGGACAGAAUCCCUUCCCUUCUGCCCACUAGUAACCUCUCACACAAGAAAUGCCUUGAAGCAGGAGCAGGGACAGCACUGAGAGAUACACUGUAUAUCAUAGGACAGGCAGAACUGAGUGAUACACUGUAUAUCAUAGGACAGACAGCACUGAGUGAUACA